UAAUUUCGAAGCAAUAUAUUACAAUCAACAACAAUCUCUCUGUGAUAUUUAAAUCAUUGGAGUCUUGGUUACUUAAGAUUUAUGAAUGUAUGCAGGAGAACCUAUGUUUUAAUGGUGCAUUUUUUAUAAAAUUAUUUUCUAAACAUCCAUAUCAUACACUUAGUAAAAACACCUGCAGAAGUGGUAAAGGGUCAGUAAUGCCCGUGGCCACAAAUAAACAGAGAAAACUAAAUAGUGCUAUAUUUACAUUUACAUUUGCGGCAUUUGGCAGACGCCCUUAUCCAGAGCGACUUACAACUGAGCAGGGGGUGGUCUUAGGGCUUUUGCUAAAGGGCCCAGCAGUGGCAGCUUGGUGAUAGUGGGAUUUGAACCUGUGACCUUCCGAUCCAAAGUCAAAUGCCUUAACCACUGAGCUACCACCUCCCCUAUAUGCACUGAUAUAUUGUUUAUACUGAUGGAAAUGUAAAUCUUUUAAAAUUCCUGUGGUUCAUGAAUGUAACUGUGGUGCUCGAAUGUCUGUGAACCCUUUAGAAUGUUCUAUAUUUCUGCAUAAAUAUGACCCAACAUCUUUAGAUUUUCACACCUAAAAGUCGUAAAAGUAGACCAAGUGAACCAAGAUGAUGGUAGGUUUCCUCACCUGAACUGCUUGCUUCAGGUCCUUCCACAACAUUUCAGUUGGAUUAAGAUCAGGACUUUGGCACUCUCACCAUUCUUUGGUAGAAUGACUUGGAGGGGAUUGCUUGGGGUCGUUCUCUUGCUGUAUGACCCAUUUUUCCUUGAGUUUCACUUCACAAACAGAUGUCCUGACAAUUUCCUUUAGAAUUUGCUGGUAUAGUUCUGGAUUCAUUGUUCCAUCAAUGAUGGCAAGCCGUCCGUUUGGGGUGAUCCUUAUUGGAUGGCCACUCCUGGUAAGGGUUGAUGAGCAACAAUUUUUCCGAGGUCCUCGGAAAUCUCCUUUGUUCAUGCUAUGAUACACUCCACAAACAUGUGUUGUGCAGAUCAGACAUUUAUAGAUCUCUGGUUUUAAAUAAAACAAGGAACUUAUUGAAACCCUUAGACUCACUAAAACAGAUGGACUUUCACAUACUUUUGUCACUUACAGAUAUGUAAUAUUUGAUAAUUUUUCUCAAUAAAUAAAUGAAAUGUAA